rnacentral:rRNA from 1 species
AUUGAACGCUGGCGGCAGGCCUAACACAUGCAAGUCGAGCGGAUGAGGAAAGCUUGCUUUUCGAUUCAGCGGCGGACGGGUGAGUAAUGCCUAGGAAUCUGCCUGUUAGUGGGGGAUAACUCGGGGAAACUCGGGCUAAUACCGCAUACGUCCUACGGGAGAAAGUGGGGGAUCUUCGGACCUCACGCUAACAGAUGAGCCUAGGUCGGAUUAGCUAGUAGGUGAGGUAAUGGCUCACCUAGGCGACGAUCCGUAACUGGUCUGAGAGGAUGAUCAGUCACACUGGAACUGAGACACGGUCCAGACUCCUACGGGAGGCAGCAGUGGGGAAUAUUGGACAAUGGGCGCAAGCCUGAUCCAGCCAUGCCGCGUGUGUGAAGAAGGUCUUAUGGUUGUAAAGCACUUUAAGCGAGGAGGAGGCUACUUUAGUUAAUACCUAGAGAUAGUGGACGUUACUCGCAGAAUAAGCACCGGCUAACUCUGUGCCAGCAGCCGCAGUAAAAC